rnacentral:rRNA from 1 species
GAGAUUUUCGCAAUGCCCGAAAGGGUGACGAAGCGACGCCGCGUGCGGGAAGAAGGCCUUCGGGUUGUAAACCGCUGUCGGGAGUUAAGAAAUGUAAGGAUGUUAAUAGCAUCUUUGCUUGACUAAGGCUCCGGAGGAAGCCACGGCUAACUCUGUGCCAGCAGCCGCGGUAAUACAGAGGCGACAAGCGUUGUUCGGAAUUAUUGGGCGUAAAGAGCACGUAGGCGGCUAUGUAAGUCGGUUGUGAAAGCCUUCCGCUCAACGGGAGAACAGCAUCCGAUACUGCAUGGCUUGAGUGCGGGAGGGGAGAGUGGAACUUCUGGUGGAGCGGUGAAAUGCGUAGAUAUCAGAAGGAACGCCGGCGGCGAAAGCGGCUCUCUGGCCCAUAACUGACGCUGAGUGUGCGAAAGCCAGGGGAGCAAACGGGAUUAGAUACCCCGGUAGUCCUAGCCGUAAACGAUGGGCACUAAGUAGAGGGGUUUUA